AUUGAACGCUGGCGGCAUGCCUUACACAUGCAAGUCGAACGGCAGCGGACCUUCGGGUGCCGGCGAGUGGCAACGGGUGAGUAAUGCAUCGGAACGUACCUUUCAGUGGGGGAUAACGUAGCGAAAGUUACGCUAAUACCGCAUAUUCUGUGAGCAGGAAAGCAGGGGAUCGCAAGACCUUGCGCUGAUUGAGCGGCCGAUGUCAGAUUAGCUAGUUGGUGAGGUAAAGGCUCACCAAGGCGACGAUCUGUAGCGGGUCUGAGAGGAUGAUCCGCCACACUGGAACUGGGACACGGUCCAGACUCCUACGGGAGGCAGCAGUGGGGAAUUUUGGACAAUGGGGGCAACCCUGAUCCAGCCAUGCCGCGUGAGUGAAGAAGGCCUUCGGGUUGUAAAGCUCUUUCGGCCGGGAAGAAAUCGCACGGGCUAAUACCCUGUGUGGAUGACGGUACCGGAAUAAGAAGCACCGGCUAACUACGUGCCAGCCGCCGCCGUAAGAC
rnacentral:rRNA from 1 species